rnacentral:rRNA from 1 species
AACGAACGCUGGCGGCAUGCCUAACACAUGCAAGUCGAACGAGACCUCCGGGUCUAGUGGCGCACGGGUGCGUAACGCGUGGGAACCUGCCCUUAGGUUCGGAAUACCUCCCCGACAGGGGUGCUAAUACCGGAUAAUGUCUUCGGACCAAAGAUUUAUCGCCUUUGGAUGGGCCCGCGUUGGAUUAGCUAGUUGGUAGGGUAAAAGCCUACCAAGGCGACGAUCCAUAGCUGGUCUGAGAGGAUGAUCAGCCACACUGGGACUAAGACACGGCCCAGACUCCUACGGAAGGGAGGAGUGGGGAAUAUUGGACAAUGGGCGAAGGCCUGAUCCAGCAAUGCCGGGUGAGUGAUGAAGGCCUUAGGGUUGUAAAGCUCUUUUACCCGGGAUGAUAAUGACAGUACCGGGAGAAUAAGCUCCGGCUAACUACGUG